GAUGAACGCUGGCGGCGUGCCUAAUACAUGCAAGGCGAGCGAACAGACGAGGAGCUUGCUCCUCUGACGUUAGCGGCGGACGGGUGAGUAACACGUGGAUAACCUACCUAUAAGACUGGGAUAACUUCGGGAAACCGGAGCUAAUACCGGAGAAUAUAUUGAACCGCAUGGGUCAAUAGUGAAAGACGGUUUUGCUGUCACUUAUAGAUGGAUCCGCGCCGCCUUAGCUAGUUGGUAAGGUAACGGCUUACCAAGGCAACGAUGCGUAGCCGACCUGAGAGGGUGAUCGGCCACACUGGAACUUAGACACGGUCCAGACUCCUACGGGAGGCAGCAGUAGGGAAUCUUCCGCAAUGGGCGAAAGCCUGACGGAGCAACGCCGCGUGCGUGAUGAAGGUCUUCGGAUCGUAAAACUCUGUUAUUAGGGAAGAACAAAUGUGUAAGUAACUAUGCACGUCUUGACGGUACCUAGUCAGAAAGCCACGGCUAACUACGU
rnacentral:rRNA from 1 species